rnacentral:rRNA from 1 species
AUUGAACGCUGGCGGCAUGCCUUACACAUGCAAGUCGAACGGUAACAGGUCUUCGGAUGCUGACGAGUGGCGAACGGGUGAGUAAUACAUCGGAACGUGCCCGACCGUGGGGGAUAACUACUCGAAAGAGUAGCUAAUACCGCAUACGAUCUACGGAUGAAAGCGGGGGAUCUUCGGACCUCGUGCGGACGGAGCGGCCGAUGGCAGAUUAGGUAGUUGGUGGGAUAAAAGCUUACCAAGCCGACGAUCUGUAGCUGGUCUGAGAGGACGACCAACCACACUGGGACUGAGACACGGCCCAGACUCCUACGGGAGGCAGCAGUGGGGAAUUUUGGACAAUGGGCGAAAGCCUGAUCCAGCAAUGCCGCGUGCAGGAUGAAGGCCUUCGGGUUGUAAACUGCUUUUGUACGGAACGAAAAGACUCCUUCUAAUACAGGGGGUCCAUGACGGUACCGUAAGAAUAAGCACCGGCUAACUACGUGCCAGCCGCCGCAGUAA